rnacentral:rRNA from 1 species
GAUGAACGCUGGCGGCGUGCCUAAUACAUGCAAGUCGAGCGAACAGAUGAGGAUCUUGCUCCUCUGACGUUAGCGGCGGACGGGUGAGUAACACGUGGAUAACCUACCUAUAAGACUGGGAUAACUUCGGGAAACCGGAGCUAAUACCGGAUAAUAUAUUGAACCGCAUGGUUCAAUAGUGAAAGACGGUUUUGCUGUCACUUAUAGAUGGAUCCGCGCCGCAUUAGCUAGUUGGUAAGGUAACGGCUUACCAAGGCGACGAUGCGUAGCCGACGUGAGAGGGUGAUCGGCCACACUGGAACUGAGACACGGUCCAGACUCCUACGGGAGGCAGCAGUAGGGAAUCGUCGGCAAUGGGCGGAAGCCUGACGGAGCAGCGCCGGGUGAGUGAUGAAGGUCUUCGGAUCGUAAAACUCUGUUAUUAGGGAAGACCAAAUGUGUAAGUAACUAUGCACGUCUUGACGGUACCUAAUCAGAAAGCAACGGCUAACUACGUG